ACGAACGCUGGCGGCGUGCUUAACACAUGCAAGUCGAACGGAAAGGCCCCUUUGGGGGUACUCGAGUGGCGACCGGGUGAGUAACACGUGAGUAACCUGCCCUUGACUUCGGGAUAACUUCAGGAAACUGGGGCUAAUACCGGAUAGGAAUCCUUGCUGCAUGGUGGGGGUUGGAAAGCUUCGGCGGUUUUGGAUGGACUCGCGGCUUAUCAGCUUGUUGGUGGGGUAGUGGCUUACCAAGGCUUUGACGGGUAGCCGGCCUGAGAGGGCGACCGGCCACAUUGGGACUGAGAUACGGCCCAGACUCCUACGGGAGGCAGCAGUGGGGAAUAUUGCACAAUGGGCGGAAGCCUGAUGCAGCAACGCCGCGUGCGGGAUGACGGCCUUCGGGUUGGAAACCGCUUUCAGCAGGGGCGAAGCUUGUGGUGACGGUACCUGCAGAAGAAGCACCGGCUAACUACGUG
rnacentral:rRNA from 1 species